rnacentral:tRNA from 1 species
CGGGGCGUAGUUCAGUUGGUAGAAUGCGCGGCUGGGGGCCGUGUGGUCGCUGGUUCGAGUCCAGUCGCCCCGACCA